CACGUAGGCGGGUUUCCAAGUCGGUCGUGAAAGCCCCCGGCUCAACCCGGGGAACUGCGACCGAAACUGGAUUCCUUGAGAGCGAGAGGGGAGAGCGGAACUUCUGGUGGAGCGGUGAAAUGCGUAGAUAUCAGAAGGAACACCGGUGGUGAAAACGGCUCUCUGGCUCGUUUCUGACGCUGAGGUGCGAAAGCUUGGGUAGCGAACG
rnacentral:rRNA from 1 species